rnacentral:rRNA from 1 species
UACGUAGGGUGCGAGCGUUGUCCGGAAUUAUUGGGCGUAAAGAGCUCGUAGGCGGUUUGUCGCGUCUGCCGUGAAAGUCCGGGGCUCAACUCCGGAUCUGCGGUGGGUACGGGCAGACUAGAAUGAUGUAGGGGAGACUGGAAUUCCUGGUGUAGCGGUGAAAUGCGCAGAUAUCAGGAGGAACACCGAUGGCGAAGGCAGGUCUCUGGGCAUUAACUGACGCUGAGGAGCGAAAGCAUGGGGAGCGAACAGG